AAUAAAUGUAGUUAUGUACUAUUCAUGUCUUGACUGUUCAUCUUAUUUAAAAAAAAUUAUAAUUAGUAUUUUUAUUGUUAUUAGAUGAUAAAAUAUGAAUAUUACUUAUUGUGUGACUAUUUUUUUUUAAUUUUUUCAUAAAAUUUUCAAACAAGAUGAUCGGUCAAACGUGUCCUCACGGCUACACUUAUU
rnacentral:pre_miRNA from 1 species